AGAGUUUGAUCCUGGCUCAGAACGAACGCUGGCGGCAGGCUUAACACAUGCAAGUCGAACGCACCGUGAGGUGAGUGGCAGACGGGUGAGUAACGCGUGGGAACGUACCUUUCGGUUCGGAAUAACCCAGGGAAACUUGGGCUAAUACCGAAUUCGCCGGAAACGGGAAAGAUUUAUCGCCGAAAGAUCGGCCCGCGUCGGAUUAGCUAGUUGGUGGGGUAAUGGCCUACCAAGGCGACGAUCCGUAGCUGGUCUGAGAGGAUGAUCAGCCACACUGGGACUGAGACACGGCCCAGACUCCUACGGGAGGCAGCAGUGGGGAAUAUUGGACAAUGGGCGCAAGCCUGAUCCAGCCAUGCCGCGUGAGUGAAGAAGGCCUUAGGGUUGUAAAGCUCUUUCAGCGGGGACGAUAAUGACGGUACCCGCAGAAGAAGCCCCGGCUACUUCGUGCCAGCAGCCGCGGUAAUACGAAGGGGGCUAGCGUUGUUCGGAAUUACUGGGCGUAAAGCGCGCGUAGGCGGACAUUUAAGUCAGGGGUGAAAUCCCAGGGCUCAACCCUGGAACUGCCUUUGAUACUGGAUGUCUGGAGUUCGGGAGAGGUGAGUGGAAUUCCGAGUGUAGAGGUGAAAUUCGUAGAUAUUCGGAGGAACACCAGAAGCGAAGGCGGCUCACUGGCCCGAUACUGNNGCUGAGGCGCGAAAGCGUGGGGAGCAAACAGGAUUAGAUACCCUAGUAGUCC
rnacentral:rRNA from 1 species